AGAGUUUGAUCCUGGCUCAGGAUGAACGCUAGCGACAGGCUUAACACAUGCAAGUCGAGGGGCAGCGGGGCGAGAGCUUGCUCUCGCCGCCGGCGACCGGCGCACGGGUGAGUAACACGUAUGCAACCUGCCCCCUGCAGGAGGAUAACCGGGAGAAAUCCCGACUAAUACUGCAUAACGCGGCGGAGGGACAUCCCUCUGCCGCCAAAGGAAGCGAUUCCGGCAGGGGAUGGGCAUGCGGCGCAUUAGCUAGUUGGCGGGGCGACGGCCCACCAAGGCGACGAUGCGUAGGGGUUCUGAGAGGAAGGUCCCCCACACUGGUACUGAGACACGGACCAGACUCCUACGGGAGGCAGCAGUGAGGAAUAUUGGUCAAUGGGCGGAAGCCUGAACCAGCCAAGUCGCGUGAGGGAAGACGGCCCUACGGGUUGUAAACCUCUUUUGCCGGGGAGCAAUGCCCAGCUCGCGAGCUGGGAAGGAGAGUACCCGGAGAAAAAGCAUCGGCUAACUCCGUGCCAGCAGCCGCGGUAAUACGGAGGAUGCGAGCGUUAUCCGGAUUUAUUGGGUUUAAAGGGUGCGUAGGCGGUCUGUUAAGUCAGCGGUCAAAUGUCGGCGCUCAACGCCGGCCUGCCGUUGAAACUGGCGGACUUGAGUGGGCGAGAAGUAUGCGGAAUGCGUGGUGUAGCGGUGAAAUGCAUAGAUAUCACGCAGAACCCCGAUUGCGAAGGCAGCAUACCGGCGCCCAACUGACGCUGAGGCACGAAAGCGUGGGUAUCGAACAGGAUUAGAUACCCUGGUAGUCCACGCAGUAAACGAUGAAUGUCAGCUGUCCGACCCUCCGGGGUUGGGUGGCACAGCGAAAGCGUUAAACAUUCCACCUGGGGAGUACGCCGGCAACGGUGAAACUCAAAGGAAUUGAC
rnacentral:rRNA from 1 species